GAAGGGUGUAGGUCGUGAUGAGAUUUCUAAUCUUUUUUGCAGGCAGUUCGAUUCUGUUUACCCUUUU
rnacentral:tRNA from 1 species